UUUAUUGACUUUUAUUAGUCACACACAGCUUACAAGAACAAAACUUUGGUCAUCCAGAUAUCAAAGUUCAAUCUGCUGAUGAGUAGAAAUGAUCUUGAAACAAAUCUAAGCGACACAUCAUUACACAACUGCCCUCUUGUGUCCAGUCACUGCAUUGCAGGAGAGUCGCAUUAUGAGCAAAGGCACAUACGACAGCUUUAAAAUGCCACUAUUAGGCAUCAUAAAGGGUCAUUAGAGGGUCAUUAGAUUCCGAGAUUAGGAUCCGAGACUCCCCAUAAUGCAUUAGGAAUCCCCUAUGACAAGUUAAAAAUAGACUUAGGGGGUCACGUUAUAAGACUUGACUCAAUUCGAGCACUGAUAGAAACCAUGAUUAUUAUAAAGAAAUGCAGAAUAACAGAGCGCUGCAUCACAGACAGGAAUCUCACAGUGAGAAUGAAUCUCAUCACUUAAGCAAGAAACACAAUGAGCCCAAAUAAACACGUCUCCUUUCACUGGAGCCACAACUGCACCGUCUGCAUACAUCAUCUCUAACAAAAGCAUCGAUAUUCACCUCACAAAACUACCCCAGGUUUUCCCUGCAUUUUUUCUGUGCCUUACAGUUUUCCUGUGGAUCUGAUAUUAAGAUGUGCAAAUUCUAGAAAAUAAUCCUCGUCUUUUAGCCACUGGUGCAGUUCGCUACAGGUGUGUUUUGAAAGCUCUGACUCAAAAAAAGCGAUGAAAUGAGCAGCUUUUACUAUUAUUAUGUAGCAUAAUUGCAUUAUAUGUACAUUGAGUUCAGAAAUCUGGUUAGAAGGUGUGAAUAACUUUCCUUAAACAACCGAGUUAUGAUGUUUUUGCAUGAUGUUGACUGCAAAACUCAUAGCUAACUGUUAGCAUGCUCAUUCUAACUGGUUAAGCAAGAACAGCACCUUCCUACUGUAGAUAGUCUGAGUACUGCUUGAUAUACGGCUCCUGAUAUCAUAUCUCAUAUAUUGUAAACAUACACAGUGUCGUAUUCCAUUUAUUUAAUGUUAUGAAGGUUUGUACUCAUUCAGCUACAAGGGUGUGAGUAAAGUCGGGUACUGAUGCAGGUGAGAUGAUGUGAGGAGGCCUGGGGUGCAGUCAGCGUUCACAUUGACCAUAAAAUGUGAGAUUAAAGCUCUAUGGCAGGAGACCCUCUGUGCACAGGGGCACGUUCAUGCUGGAACAGGUUCGGAUCUCCUGGUACGAAAGCAUUCAGACACAGACGGGUAGAAUUGCGGUAAAAAUUGGGAGAAAAAGCAGAUAUGGCUGGAAAAGGCAGGUGUCACAAUGCUUUAGUUUGGAAAUGAAGCUCGACAGAGAAAGUCUUCGGGACAGAGGACGUUCAGAUUAUAAUUUGGGUUUGAUUAUGUCCAGGAAAAAAAAAAAGUGCAGGAAGUGUUUUCUAGCAAACUGUUGCUAUGGUGCUGAUUUACACUAUUUAUAAACACUGUGUUCAUUCCUCACUGAGCUUUAAUAAUUUGAGCACAGGCCUUCCAUCCGCUCCAUUAAAGACAAAGCAAGACACAAAAAGAAAGAAAAAUGCAGCGUAGUGUUUUAAUAAUGGUAAGUGUUAAGCUUCAACUUAAUACAGAUGAAAGCAUCGCAGGGCACACGAACACUCGGCAGGACAAAGAAACUGUAACGCGCACAGCCUAAAGAAUACACAUCAACAUCGUUCACCCUAAGGAUGGAAACUCAUCUAGCUAGAAAAGUGUUAAUUAGCAGAAAAGACCGACAUGCAGUGCGUCAUGUCAUUGAACUAGAGCUCAAGGCACUGGGACCUAGCAUGGCUCCUUGCGUCUGUAGACCUGAGAAGCAGUGUGAGGCAUUAGCAUUGCCAUGACAGCUCUCUGAAGUCACGUUUAGGAGCAAAAAACAGUACAGCGGACUAAAGAUGGGAUGGAGGAGGAUGCACCAGGGGGGAAAAAUGUGUUCUCAUAAGCGACAGGAUGAUGAAAAGGUUUCGGUUUCGCCUUUAGUGCUCAGGAACAUUGACUUACAAUGGAGACGCGUUCUGAUGACCCCAUCGUAAGUCGAGACAUGGCUUAGGUGUCCUAAAGGAUGAUCAGCAUGGUGUAGUGUACUGUAAUUUGUUAACACAUUACAGCACAAAUAAGCAAAAUAGAGCAAUUUUACAGUAGCUUACUAUAUAAACAUGUAUGUGAACGAGCGCAUAAACGCUGCUAAGCUGCCUGCCGUGCCAAAUGUCAUAUUUUUACAACUUUGCCGAAUCUCUGUUUUCGUCGUAAGAUGGAAAAAUCAUUAUGAACCAUCGUAACUCGGGGACCUUUCAAUGUACAUGUUGGGGGGAAAAAAAAUAAAAAUAAAAACAAUAACGCCUGCAGCGAAAACAGAAAAACUAGCAAGUCAUCGUCCCACUGUUACAGAAAAAAUACAGAAAGGUUUGGCUCAGUCCUGAGUCACAGAAAUGAUUCCUACCUUUCAAAUAUGAGUGAUAAAACACACACACACACACACACACACACACACACACACACACACACACACACACACACACACACACUCACACACACACACACACACACACACACACACACACACACACACACACACAC